rnacentral:tRNA from 1 species
GGAGAGAUGGCUCAGUGGUUAAGAGCACUGACUGCUCUUCCAGAUGUCCUGAGUUCAAUUCCCAGUCACCACA